rnacentral:rRNA from 1 species
AUGUUGGACUUGUUUAAGAUCACCACCACCUCGUUCUGCCUCUCCGCCAUGUGGGACAUCAUCUUCAACACCCACGUGCUUCAUGCCCUUUCAUCCUUCCUCUCUGACCACUAUCCGUUAUUGCUUGCCGACGACAAGGAGCUUAUGAGGCCUAGGGCCUUCAAAUUCAAGAACUUUUGGGUAUCAGUGCCUGGUUUCAGUGACUUGGUUAACAAUUCAUGGAUGGAGCAUGUUGAGCACACCGAGCCAUACCAUAUCUUGUUCCAUAAGCUCAAAAAUAGGGAACUACGUCUCACCGAAUGGAGUAGGGGCCUCUUCUCUAAGGCAAAAAUUCAUCUUCAUGCCGGACUAUUGGUCAUCGCCUCGACAUCGCGCAAGAGGAGUAGCGGCUCUCCCCUGAAGAGCAUGAUCUCCGGGCUCGCCUAA